UUAGUUACAACGGACAUCUGUAUAAAAAAUCGCGCUUGAGUCGGACACAGGUGGCCCCCCUUCCGCCAUCGCCAUUUCUCCUCGUCGUCUUCCUCGCGCACCCGUCCUUCCGACUUCCACAUGGCCAUGGCGAUGCGACGCGCGGCGCCGCCGCCCGUCACAUCCUCGCUGCCUCGCCCUCCUCGCGCCUCGUCCCCCGCUGCCACAUGGGCGUGGACGCGGGCGCGGCGAUGGAGAGGAUCCGGGCGGCGGGGCUGCUCGGGACGCGGGGGGCUUAUCGGUGGCCAGUGGGUCGACGCCUACGACGGAAAGACCAUCGAGCCUGUUGGGGUAGUUGGAGCCAUCACACCAUGGAAUUUUCCUUUAGCAAUGAAAACCAGAAAGGUUGGACCAGCAUUGGCCUGUGGCUGCACUGUUGUGGUCAAGGCAUCAGAGUUCACACCUCUUACAGCAUUAGCUGCAGCAGACCUUGCUCUUCAAGCUGGAAUACCAGCGAGCGCACUAAAUGUUGUGAUGGGUAAUGCUCCUGAGAUAGGUGAUGCAUUACUGAAGAGUGCACAGGUAAGAAAGGUCACAUUCACUGGAUCAACAGCUAUUGGCAAAAAAUUGAUGGCAGGAUCAGCAAACACAGUGAAGAAGGUUUCUUUGGAACUUGGUGGGAAUGCACCUUGCAUUGUUUUUGAUGAUGCAGACAUUGAUGUUGCUGUUAAAGGCAGUCUUGCUGCCAAGUUCUGUAACAGUGGACAAACGUGUGUUUGUGCAAACAUGAUAUUGGUGCAAGAAGGUAUCUACGAAAAAUUUGCAAGUGCAUUUGUCAAGGCUGUUCAGAGUUUGCAGGGUCUUCUGAUUAAUGACGCUGUUGUUCAAAAGGUAGAGAAGUUCAUAACUGAUGCGACUUCAAAGGGAGCAAACAUCAUGCUAGGUGGUAAAAGGCACAGCUUGGGGAUGACAUUUUAUGAGCCAACUGCAGUAGGGAACGUCAGCGAUGAUAUGCUUCUUUUCAGGGAAGAAGUCUUUGGUCUGGUUGCAUCACUUGUACCUUUCAAAACAGAGGAAGACACAAUCCAUGUGGCCAAUGAUACAAAUGCUGGUUCAUGAAAGGCUCCAGUGCACUAGAUUAGUGCACCAUUCUCAUUGUUAACAUUUUUCUUUAAAGAAAAAUUCAGUUCUCGAGUUAUAUGCCAAGCACUUCAAGAAAAUUACAUGUUAGCAUAACGUGCAGGAUGUACUUUAGUGAGAAAACGUUAGUGGAGUACGGUAUAACAUAGCAACAUCGAGAUAAUUCAAGAUGCUCAAAACUGCAAUAUGCAAUGUAGGAUUUUGUUUCCGUCAUGUUAAGAAAACCCAUGAAAAUUGAAUCUUAAUUCAAUGAUAUUCUUGUUUCUCUUAGGCCAUUUGUUGGGAAACUGGGUGUACUGCUAGCCGAUGGAAAAUGUGGAUAAUUGUGGGAAUUAUCCUUGUAAAGUGACAUAGUUGCCCUUCGAGAAAAACACAUUGCAAAGUUAAAAUUUCCAUUUUAUGUUUGAUCUCUUAAGUAUUGCAUCGUUAUACUUGAUCUGCAGGCUUAGCUGCAUACAUAUUUACAAAGAGCAUUCCUCAUUCAUGGCGUGUUUCUGAGGCUCCUGAAUAUGGCUUAGUUGCUGUGAAUGAGGCACUGAUUUCAACAGAGGCAAGAAGUACCCAAUAAGAGCCAGUACACAAUUGCCCACUUUGUGGUCCAAUCCAUAUAGCCCUAUAUAUCAAUACUGUUUUGCUGUAAUUUUCAGGUAGCACCAUUUGGCGGAGUUAAACAGUCUGGUCUUGGGAGAGAGGGUUCAAAAUACGGCGUUGACGAAUACCUGGAGCUCAAGUAUAUCUGCAUGGGCAACUUGAACUGAGUCUUGAGGUUGGCCUGGUUAGAAAUACCUAGCUGACGAUGAACGGAGUAGAGGAGGCACACAUCUCUGUAAGAUCGAACAAGAAGCAGCAACUGGCUGUAGUACAGGUUACAAUAAAAGCAAAUAAGACAAGGAACACUAAUAAAAAGGCCCUAAUGAGUUGUAAAUGAUGUGAACCAUAAAGCACCGCGUCGUCUCCGAACUUUGGUGUAGAUGAUCAUCACAGCAGUCAUCGAGUGUCAGAAAAUGGUCAUGCUGCAGAAUCAAAGGUUUCUUGGCUGGAUGAGUUAUGUCGGAUGUGCUGCAUCUUUGGUAUAUAUACAUUAUCCCUGAUUACUGAACAACAGAAGGAUCUUGUGCUGGAUUUUUAAACUGACAUAGUGGUCUGGUAGCCGUGCUUAACUCUGAUUCAACCUUGGUAUUUUGAAUCUUACCAUAGUUACUAGAUUCAUUAUAUCACACAUGCUUGUAAUGGAUUCAUGAGUUCCUUGGCGAUUCGCAUACAAGGUGCAUGAUCAUUAUGCAAUUUCAGAUGAUA